rnacentral:rRNA from 1 species
AGAAUCAACGCUGGCGGCGUGCCUAACACAUGCAAGUCGCACGAGAAAGGGACUUCGGUCCUGAGUAAAGUGGCGCACGGGUGAGUAACACGUGAAUCAUCUACCUUCGAGUGGGGAAUAACUGAGAGAAAUCUUAGCUAAUACCGCAUAAUACCCACGGGUCAAAGCAGCAAUGCGCUUGAAGAGGAGUUCGCGGCAGAUUAGUUAGUUGGCGGGGUAAUGGCCCACCAAGACGAUGAUCUGUA